rnacentral:rRNA from 1 species
GGGCAAAGAUUAUCGCUUUUGGAGGGGGGUGCGUCCUAUCAGGUAGUUGGUGUGGUAAUAGCUCACCAAGCCUAUGACGGGUAGCCGGUCUGAGAGGAUGUCCGGCCGCAAUGGAACUGAGACACGGUCCAUACUCCUACGGGAGGCAGCAGUGGGGAAUCUUGCGCAAUGGGCGAAAGCCUGACGCAGCAAUCCCGCGUGAAGGAUGAAGCAUUAUGGUGUGUAAACUUCUUUUCUGGUGGAAGACGAAUGACGGUACACCAGGAAUAAGGGACGGCUAACUACGUGCCAGCAGCCGCGGUAAUACGUAGGUCCCAAGUGUUAUCCGGAAUUACUGGGCGUAAAGAGUCUGUAGCCGGGUUUGUAAGUCUGUUUUCAAAUCCUAUGGCUUAACCAUAGAGAGGGAAUGGAUACUGCAAACCUUGAGAUUAUUGGGGGUUGAUGGAAUUUCCGUGUGGAGCCGGUGAAAAUGCCGUUGCAUAUUCGGGAAAGGAACCGCCAAAAAGUGAAAGCAGUCAACUACAAUAAAUCUGACGGUCAGAGACGAAAGCUUGGGGAGCAAACGGGAUUAGAUACCCCGGUAGUCCAAGCCGUAAAUUAUGCAUGCUAGGUGUC